UGGGGCGGUAGCUCAGUUGGUUAGAGCGCUCGCCUUACACGCGAUAGGUCCUGGGUUCGAGUCCCAGCCGCCCCAU
rnacentral:tRNA from 1 species